rnacentral:rRNA from 1 species
AGCAGUAGCCGCGGGAAUACGUAGGUGGCAAGCGUUGUCCGGAAUUAUUGGGCGUAAAGGGCUCGCAGGCGGUUUCUUAAGUCUGAUGUGAAAGCCCCCGGCUCAACCGGGGAGGGUCAUUGGAAACUGGGAAACUUGAGUGCAGAAGAGGAGAGUGGAAUUCCACGUGUAGCGGUGAAAUGCGUAGAGAUGUGGAGGAACACCAGUGGCGAAGGCGACUCUCUGGUCUGUAACUGACGCUGAGGAGCGAAAGCGUGGGGAGCGAACAGGAUUAGAGACCCGUGUAGUCCCUGUCUCUUAUAA